rnacentral:rRNA from 1 species
UACAGAGGUCUCAAGCGUUGUUCGGAUUCAUUGGGCGUAAAGGGUGCGUAGGUGGCGCCGUAAGUCAGGUGUGAAAUUUCGGAGCUUAACUCCGAAACUGCAUUUGAUACUGCGGUGCUUUGAGGACUGGAGAGGAGACUGGAAUUCAUGGUGUAGCAGUGAAAUGCGUAGAGAUCAUGAGGAAGACCAGUGGCGAAGGCGGGUCUCUGGACAGUUCCUGACGCUGAGGCACGAAGGUCAGGGGAGCAAACGGGG